rnacentral:rRNA from 1 species
GACGAACGCUGGCGGCGUGCUUAACACAUGCAAGUCGAACGGACAGGCCCCUUUGGGGGUACUCGCGUGGCGAACGGGCGCGUAACACCUGAGUAACCUCCCCUUGACUUCUGGAUAACUUCAGGAAACUGGGGCUAAUACCGCACAGGUAUCCCUGCUGCACGGUCGGGGUUGGAAAGCUUCCGCGGCUUUGGCUGGAGUCGAGGCCUAUCACCUUGUUGGUGGGGUAGUGGCUUACCAAUGCUCUAACGGGUAGCCGGCCUGAGUGGGCGACCGGCCACAUUGGGACUGAGAGACGGCCCAGACUCCUACGGGAGGCAGCAGUGGGGAAGAUUGCACAAUGGGCGGAAGACCGAUGCAGUGACGCCGCGUGGGGGAUGACGGCCUUCGGGUUGUCAGCCGCUGUCAGCAGGGGCGAAGCUUGUGGUGACGGUACCUGCAGAAGAAGCACCGGCUAACUACGUG